rnacentral:rRNA from 1 species
AUACGUAGGGUGCGAGCGUUGUCCGGAAUUACUGGGCGUAAAGAGCUCGUAGGUGGUUUGUCGCGUCGUCUGUGAAAUUCCGGGGCUUAACUCCGGGCGUGCAGGCGAUACGGGCAUAACUUGAGUACUGUAGGGGAGACUGGAAUUCCUGGUGUAGCGGUGAAAUGCGCAGAUAUCAGGAGGAACACCGGUGGCGAAGGCGGGUCUCUGGGCAGUAACUGACGCUGAGGAGCGAAAGCAUGGGUAGCGAACAGGAUUAGAUACCCUGGUAGUCCAUGCCGUAAACGGUGGGCGCUAGGUGUAGGGGUCUUCCACGACUUCCGUGCCGUAGCUAACGCAUUAAGCGCCCCGCCUGGGGAGUACGGCCGCAAGGCUAAAACUCAAAUGAAUUGACGGGG